rnacentral:rRNA from 1 species
GGAGUUUGGACCGUGUCUCAGUUCCAAUGUGGCCGUUCACCCUCUCAGGCCGGCUAUUGAUCGUCGCUUUGGUAGGCCGUUACCCUGCCAACUGGCUAAUCAAACGCGGAUCCAUCCUUAAGCGAAAUUCCUUUCCUCACUGAGUCAUGCGACUCCGUAAGCAUAUGGUGUAUUAGCAAUGAUUUCUCACUGUUAUCCUCCUCUUAAGGGCAGGUUACCCACGCGUUACUCACCCGUCCGCCACUAAGUAUUUCAAAUGAUUCUUUGGAAGCAAGCUUCCUCGGUCUCGGGAGAAAUACUCCGUUCGACUUGCAUGUGUUAAGCACGCCGCCAGCGUUUAUC